AGCACUCUGAAGAGAGAGUCNAAAGACCGUGAAACCGCUCAGAGUAUAAGCCAAUGGUUUUCGGAAGGCAGGGUCUAGAUUCCCACCCAGCUGAGCUGAUGCUGAUCCAGGGGCAAGGGAUCUAUCGUGUAUGUAAAGAAAGAAGGCGCAGAGUGGUCCAUAUCUGACACGUGGCAUUGAGUUGAUAACACACCUGAGAUGAAAACUUGCGGGCCCCCUGACCGUGUGAUGAUGGAAGCUCCCAUGGGGGAGUGGAUAUCUUAGGGGCUUCUGGCAAGCCGGCGUUUAUCGCAUUACAAACGAGUAGACUACAUACUGCCCACCACAACUCUUUAUGAGGUCAGACACGCAGGACGUGGCUUUGAUGGUGCCAUGCGCGUUCACAAAAGCACAGGGUCUAGUGUGCCGUCCGUAAACACAGCCCGGCAGCGAGCGCCUCUAUCGCUUCGGGUGACCCUGUGCCGGCUGGCACUUCCACGUCCAUCCAGAAAGCGUGCUUUCUUUGAUCCUCCGUGAAGGUUGCUAUUCUGACGCCCCUAAUACCUGUAUUCGUAGUCCCAGUGGCUGCGAUGAAGAGAUUUCAGUAGUUGACGUAACCCCGAUGAUCAAGGCAGGUGCCCUGCUCGAUAGCAAGGGCAUUAUGUGAGGAGGGGGGUCCUGGCGAACCUAGUCUCUGUUGGUGGCGGGGGUGAUUGGUGUCUUAUUCCGGA
rnacentral:rRNA from 1 species